UGGGUAACCUGCCUUAUAGUGGGGGAUAGCCUUUCGAAAGGAAGAUUAAUACCGCAUAAGAUUGUAGUAUCGCAUGAUAUAGCAAUUAAAGGAGCAAUUCGCUAUAAGAUGGACCCGCGUCGCAUUAGCUAGUUGGUGAGGUAAUGGCUCACCAAGGCGACGAUGCGUAGCCGACCUGAGAGGGUGAUCGGCCACAUUGGGACUGAGACACGGCCUAGACUCCUACGGGAGGCAGCAUG
rnacentral:rRNA from 1 species